UACGUAGGGUGCAAGCGUUGUCCGGAAUUAUUGGUCGUAAAGAGCUCGUAGGCGGUUUGUCGCGUCUGCUGUGAAAACCCGAGGCUCAACCUCGGGCCUGCAGUGGGUACGGGCAGACUAGAGUGCGGUAGGGGAGAUUGGAAUUCCUGGUGUAGCGGUGGAAUGCGCAGAUAUCAGGAGGAACACCGGUGGCGAAGGCGGGUCUCUGGGCCGAUACUGACGCUGGAGGACGAAAGCGUGGGGAGC
rnacentral:rRNA from 1 species